AAGUCUUAACCAGUCUCUUGCGAUUUUUAACCAAAAUGUUGCGAAUUUCAAGUUAUUUCCUAAGCUUGCAGCUUUGUUAGCUAUAGUAGCUGGAGUUCCCGGAACACAAACGAAUAAUAAUAAGAUAACAUUUAUAAAACCUGUUGUGGCAGAGACAGCCACUAAGGGAAAUACUGAGAAGUUGGCCACCGAUAUCCCUAAACCAACCGUUCAGCCUGAUGUAACCACCAAGAAACCAACUAAGAUUACUGAAGAGCCCAGCGAAGACCAAAGUGACGAGUCCAUGGAUAAUGGAGUGGAUUCAGUAAUACACGGUUUUAUAAACAAAGUGAAGGAUAUAAGAAGACUUCCUGGUCAUGCUUUGAAGAGUAGUGUAAUGAGUUUUUCAUUAUCAACCUAUUAGCGAAAGCAAACGAAAGGGACCAGAUGAACGUACUCGUGAUGCAAUUGAUUCUAUCAUGAACGUUCUUUAUUUCGAUUCCGAAUAAGACAGGCAUAGAAAAAUCUGUCACAGUGCUUUCGUUAAUUUUAAUUUCAAAUAAAGUAUCAUCAAAAAGAUUUUGAAAAAUUUGCAGCACAAAAAUGAAGUUUCUUGUCUAUAGCCUUACUUUUCUUUGGUUGCUACUGCGGUAGUGGCCAUAGCUGUACCGGAAAAUGAAGAAGACAAGAGAAUAGACAGUGAGGGGGACAUGGAUUUUCCGGAUCUAGAUGGUUUAUUCGAAUACUAAGUGUCUCGCGCUAUGCUGUUGCUGAAGCUGGAUGCACAUACAUAAUUUUCCUUCUGCGGACCGAAAAUUUUUAAUUAAAACAAACAAUAUGUUG